GAGGGGACCAGAGCGGCCCGCGGGGGCGGUGCGGGGACCCCAGCCUCGAGGAGGCGCUCGUGCAGGGCGGAGGUGGCGCUUCAGCACUGUCGUGGGCCGGACAGCGCCUCCCGCCCCCGGCCCUCGAAACCUGGCUUCGGAGCCCAGCCGUAGGGACCGGACGGAAGACACCGAAGGAACGGCGAACCUCCCCGGACCGCUCCUGACAGUUCCCGGGUGGCCUUGGGCCUGCAAAGUCGGAAUUUGCACACCCUCCGCUAGUCCUUCCCUGAGCCCUUCUGCCCUCCUUGCCCAGCCGGGGCGGUGGGGACUAAGCAGCGCGGGGCUGCGGAGGGGCGGUCACACGCGUGACCAUUCGCACUGCACUCCAGCCGCCGGCUCCUCAGGCUUUACUGGAGAGAAGCCCCGAGGAGGGCUGGGGGCAAAAGAGGGGCCUUCUGCAUCUCCAGCAACCUGCGGGCUGAGCUCCCAGACCCGGCGUCGGGGCGCUCGUCUCCGGGCGGGCGCUAGGACCGGGGACAGUCAGGAGGGCGCAGAGCGGGCUGGGGCGGUGCAGGGGGCGGGGCUGCCGCGGCAGGGCGGGUCGGCGGGCGCUAGGGCAGCGCGGAGCUCCGGCGGUGGGCGGGGCAUGGCGGCGCGCGCAGCGGCAGGCGGCGGCUGGAUGGAGCCCGAGCCCGAGCCCGCGGCGGUGGAGGUUCCCGCGGGGCGCGUGCUCAGCGCCCAGGAGCUCUUCGCCUCCCGCUCGCGGUCGCAGAAGCUGCCCCAGCGCUCGCAUGGCCCCAAGGACUUUCUGCCCGACGGCUCGGCGGCUCAGGCCGAGCGGCUGCGCCGGUGCCGGGAAGAGCUCUGGCAGCUGCUGGCAGAGCAGCGCGUGGAGCGCCUGGGCAGCUUGGUGGCUGCCGAGUGGAGGCCGGAAGAGGGCUUCGUGGAGUUGAAGUCUCCCGCGGGCAAAUUCUGGCAGACCAUGGGCUUCUCAGAGCAGGGCCGGCAGCGGCUUCACCCGGAAGAGGCCUUGUAUCUUCUGGAGUGUGGCUCCAUCCACCUCUUCCACCAAGACCUGCCACUGUCUAUCCAGGAAGCUUACCAGCUGCUGCUGACCGACCACACUGUGACCUUCCUGCAGUACCAGGUCUUCAGCCACCUGAAGAGGUUGGGUUAUGUGGUUCGACGAUUCCAACCAAGUAAUCCAGCAUUGGUAAAAGGCAGAGACCUUCAGACUUGGAGUGGAAACGGCUCUGUCCUGUCCCCGUAUGAGAGGCAGCUUAACCUGGAUGCCAGUGUGCAGCACUUGGAGGAUGGAGACGGCAAGAGAAAGAGGAGCAGCUCUAGCCCUUGGUCCGUUAAUAAGAAGGCCAAGGCCCUGGACAACUCCUUGCAACCCAAGAGUCUGGCAGCCUCCAGCCCACCUCCCUGCAGCCAGCCCAGCCAAUGCCCAGAGGAGAAACCCCAGGAGUCAAGCCCCAUAAAGGGCCCAGGGGGCCCCUUUCAGCUUCUGGGGUCCCUGGGCCCCAGCCCUGGCCCGGCCAGGGAGGGGGUGGGGUGCAGCUGGGAGAGUGGCAGAGCCGAGAACGGAGUCACGGGGGCCAGUAAGCGGCGCUGGAACUUCGAGCAGAUCUCCUUCCCCAACAUGGCUUCAGACAGCCGCCACACCCUCCUGCGCGCCCCAGCCCCAGAGCUGCUCCCGGCCAACGUGGCUGGGCGGGAGACAGACGCUGAGUCCUGGUGCCAGAAGCUGAACCAGCGCAAGGAGAAGCUCUCGAGGCGAGAACGGGAGCACCACGCGGAGGCCGCGCGGUUCCGGGAAGACGUCAACUCCGAUCCUGAGGUGCAGCGCUGCUCCAGCUGGCGGGAGUACAAAGAGCUGCUGCAGCGGCGGCACCUGCAGAGGAGUCAGAGCCGGGCCCCUCACCUGUGGGGCCAGCCCGUCACCCCCCUGCUGAGUCCCAGCCAGGCCGUUUCCCCAGGUACCCCCUCAGCCUGCCACAUCCUUGAGGGCCACUGGCAGCUGAGGAAUCACAGGACUUUGGAAAGGGCAUGGAUGAACCGGGAUGGAUUGAGGCUUAAGAAAGACGUGGGAGGAGGGAGCGGACCCACAAGGACGGUCAGUUCUCCCGCGGCUGCAGCAGGGCCUGUGUGGGAAGGCUUAGAGAUGGUGAGUCAGGAGAGGUAAGGAGGGGUGGAAACUAUGACCAUAUCCUUAAAAAGAUAAGCAACAUGCAUGUGGAUGGCUUUGCCACCAACUAGCUGUGAUCCCAACCUGUUAGAUGGGAAAAGGAGGUGCCUUCUUGGCCAAGUGAAAGGAAGGCUUGCUGUCUGCUCUAAGCCCAGGGAACCAAUGGGGAAAGAAUAAGCUAAAUGUGUUAACGAUUCCAAAUUACUUAAAGCCUUCAUGGGAACACGGUAGAUUGUAGGUAACUAGAUAGGGUUGCCAGAUCAGUUCGAUUUGACUUUCAGUAUAAAUAUAAUUUUUCAGUGUAAGUAUGUUCCAAAAAUUGCAUGGGAUAUGCUUAUACUAAAAAAAAAAAUGUUGCUAGGCUGGACACGGUGGCUCAUGCCUGUAAUCCCAGCACUUUGGGAGGCCGAGGCGGGCAGAUCACCUGAGGUCAGGAGUUUGAGACCAACCUGGGCAACAUGGUGAAACCGUCUCUACUGAAAAUACAAAAGUUAGCCGGGUGUGGUGGUGCACACCUCUAAUCCCAGCUACUCAGGAGGCUGAGGCAGGAGAAUUGCUUGAACCCAGGAGGCAGAGGUCACAGUGAGCCAAGAUCACACCACUAUACUCCAGCCUGGGUAACAGACCAUGGUCCUUCAGCAUAUCUCUGUGCUGCAGACAACACACCUUGCUGAUGGAGGUGCCCGGCUGUUGGAGAAGUCUGGGGGCUUGGAAAUCAGCUUUGAUGUUUACCAGGCCGACGCUGUGGCCACAUUCCGAAAGAAUAACCCUG